AAAUUGAAGAGUUUGAUCAUGGCUCAGAUUGAACGCUGGCGGCAGGCCUAACACAUGCAAGUCGAACGGUAACAGGAAGCAGCUUGCUACUUUGCUGACGAGUGGCGGACGGGUGAGUAAUGUCUGGGAAACUGCCUGAUGGAGGGGGAUAACUACUGGAAACGGUGGCUAAUACCGCAUAA
rnacentral:rRNA from 2 species